GGUGGCAUAGCUACGUGGUAAGGUCAAGGUGUGCAAUACCUUUAUCACCGGUCAAAUCCGGUUGCCGUCUCCA
rnacentral:tRNA from 1 species